rnacentral:tRNA from 1 species
GUAGCCAUGUCAGAAUUAUAUGAGUUAGUUUUAAGCAUUAAUUAUGGAUUUUUUUUCCUGGCUAUU